rnacentral:lncRNA from 1 species
ACGUGGAGAGAGCUCAGAGGCUGUCCCGGAGAAGUCGUGGAAAGCUCAGAGGAUGUCCCAAACAAGAGAGAGCUCAGAGGCUGUCCCAGAGAAGAUGUGGAGAGAGUUCAGAGGCUGUCGUUACUGCUGCACUUGGCUGUUUUUCUUUGGAUAAUUAUUGCAAUCAAUUUUAGUGAUUCAGGUGUUAAAUCACAGUCAAGCACCUGUUUACCUAGUGGUGAGUUCCUUUAU